UUGAGCUCAUAUUAUACGGUCAUUCAGGCAAUAGAAAGUCACUGGCAUUUCCUUGAACUGACUGACUGGGUUUAGGAGCACAAAACAAAGAUUAAGUAUCGUGACAUAUUUGAUGUAUUUAUCUUUGUUGAAAAGAGAUUCAUACUUGACUUCGCGUAAAACACAAGGCAACUGUAGCACUUAUUCAAAGAAUCUAUGAUUGUGCCAGGGAAUCAUUAUUUCGCGAUUUUACUGGAGGAACACAGUAGGGUCCGACGGUUAAGAAUUAAGAUUCAAAUGCGAAAAACCUAGAGAAAUUUGGCUUAGUAUAAAUUCAGAUGGGGCGGAUACAUCAAAAGUCCCGCGUUUCUAGUUCAUUUCCAAACAGUAGCGCAUUCAAUAACAUCACAUUGCGAAUAUAGUCCUUGACCUAUUUUAUCCGUGGCAGAUUUCCACAUGAAUCCUGAGCUUCUUAUAAUAUCAUUACCUUAAAUUGCUAGCAUAAAUAACACGUUUUUGACCGAAGGUAUUAUUUAGGAAUGUUUUACUCUUCCUGUCUCUCGCUGUAUGAGCGAUCUUAUUCAUCUGAAUCCCGUUAUUAGUGCAGGCAAUGGUAAGCGGAGAUUCAUCCUCCUAGUUCUAGUUGCAGCCGGAUUUGCGCGUCGCAGACAUGCGCGGACGCGGUUCACCUGCGGGUAAUUUCAGCCUGACUGGGGGACUGGGACCACCAAGUCCGGCGUCUGCGAAAACAUAGCACCGAAUGAAAUCCUGUGACAAUCGCACAGGCAUCGCCACUCGCCGGGCUUAAACCUUUCCGCUUAUUCGGGGUUAGCUUUGAUUUCAGUAAAAUAUUGAUUUGACUUCUGUAGUCUGCUAUUAAGACACCCUCCAAAGACCGGUCAUGAAUAAGCACGUUGAUUAUAAUUAUGUCUACGGUUAUAAUUGCAUCUACGAUUUAUCAUGGAUAUGGGACAAGUAAAGAUGGAACCUUAUGCACCCUGUGGGGGCAGAUACCUACCUCCCUGCCUCUUGACAGAAAAGCAUUGUCUGAUCAAGAUGAUGGACACACCGUGUCCCUAACCUCUCAACACUUUCUCUUAUGAGGAGAACACAGCUAAGAACGCCCCAUAUACAGACUAAGCCAAAGGAAUGCAUCAUUCUCAGAAUUCAUAUCAAGAUUCAGGCCCAUAUGUACGAGACCUAUGGCACAAUGAAGAACGCUGGACUGUGGCAGAGCGCCGCCAGAGCUCUGGACCCGAGCAUGGCCUGUGUGACUCAGAUUGGGUUUCUCCGCUGAAUAACUGGAAUUGGAAUCCCUGCCAAGCUUCUAAACUGUGCUGUCAGCAGAUGGCAAGACGGACAGUGAGAACUGACAAUGGGCCUGUCAUCGUCAGGCAAAAUAAAGGGCUACACCGUCACUAUAGGCAAAAGACCGACUCGUGCACAGGAGAGCAAAGGAGGGGAAAAAAGACACCUAGAGAGACACAGGUGCCAAGACAGCCUGUGUCUGUUCUAGAAAGAACGUUGUUUACUUUGCUCCAAGUGAAAAGCUAGAAGUUGUCAUAAUUCAUUUUACUUUCUCAAGAGCCAGGUACUAAGCGAAAAUAACUUAAUUUACACUGGGAAUCAGAAUAUUUCCAACCCACUGUUGUUUAAUGGGCUGUUCCCUUGCACACUUCCAUCCAAACAUGACAUGUGAAGGCUGGACUGAAUUUACCAGACAAGUAGCCCCUGAGCGGCAGGUUUCAGACUCAGGUUCCCUGCAAGGAGAAGAGGGAGGGGCUCACGCCAUCUGCCUGAAUGACAGUUACAGUACUUUUGCUUGAAACUCCUUCAAAGAAGAUGUUGAGGAUUCAAGGCCCUUUUUCACAUAAAUGUAUAAAUUUCCUUAAUUUAAUAAAAAAAACAAUCUGGAUUAUUUAGAUUAUUUUAUCUAGGAAGGAAUGGCAUUAUUAUCCUCAACAUGAAAACCAUACAUCGAUUUAUGAUCAACAUCUACAUGACUUUUUUGUUCUUAUGAUUCUUGCCUUUUAGUAUUAAAGCCUGACAUAUCAACAUAAAUUGAGCCUAAGUACAGUCUUGCACCUACAGUCUUAAAUGAGUUAAUAUACAGAUAUAAUAUAAUGAUGUAUACACAUAUAUGCAGUACAUAUAUUUUCAAGUAGAAGGGCAACUGUAAUGUGCAAUAGGAGAAAUAAUUUUUCCCCAACCAAAUUAAAAACAACAGCACUAUAUAGAAGCAAAAUCUUAAAUUAUAAGCCUUCGCUGACAAGUGGUAUGUGAACAUUAAAAACAGCACCACCACUUAGUAACUUAACGGCAGUGGCUGCGCAAUAUUCACUAUUUUAAUGUAGCAUUCUUACGCCACACCCACAAUUACGUUUCAAAUGUAG